AUUGAACGCUGGCGGCAGGCCUAACACAUGCAAGUCGAACGAGUGGCGGACGGGUGAGUAAUAUAUCGGAACGUACCGAGUAAUGGGGGAUAACUAAUCGAAAGAUUAGCUAAUACCGCAUAUUAUUCGAGCGGCCGAUAUCUGAUUAGCUAGUUGGUGGGGUAAAGGCCUACCAAGGCGACGAUCAGUAGCGGGUCUGAGAGGAUGAUCCGCCACAAUGGGACUGAGACACGGCCCAGACUCCUACGGGAGGCAGAAGUGGGGAAUUUUGGACAAUGGGCGCAAGCCUGAUCCAGCCAUGCCGCGUGUCUGAAGAAGGCCUUCGGGUUGUAAAGGACUUUUGUCAGGGAAGCGGUACCUGAAGAAUAAGCACCGGCUAACUACGUGCCAGCAGCCGCGGUAAUAC
rnacentral:rRNA from 1 species